AUACGUAGGGGGCGAGCGUUGUCCGGAAUGAUUGGGCGUAAAGGGCGCGUAGGCGGCCCGGUAAGUCUGGAGUGAAAGUCCUGUUUUUAAGAUGGGAAUUGCUUUGGAUACUGUCGGGCUUGAGUGCAGGAGAGGUAAGUGGAAUUCCCAGUGUAGCGGUGAAAUGCGUAGAGAUUGGGAGGAACACCAGUGGCGAAGGCGACUUACUGGACUGUAACUGACGCUGAGGCGCGAAAGUGUGGGGAGCAAACAGGAUUAGAUACCCUGGUAGUCCACACUGUAAACGAUGAAUGCUAGGUGGAGGUGGUAUCGACCCCUUCUGUGCCGCAGUCAACACAAUAAGCAUUCCGCCUGGGGAGUACGGCCGCAAGGUUGAAACUCAAAGGAAUUGACGGGG
rnacentral:rRNA from 1 species